rnacentral:rRNA from 1 species
UGGGGAAUAUUGGACAAUGGGGGCAACCCUGAUCCAGCGACGCCGCGUGGGUGAAGAAGGCCUGCGGGUUGUAAAGCCCUUUCGGUGGGGAUGAAAAGCUUCGUUCUAACACAGCGAAGUCUUGACCUAACCCACAAAAGAAGCACCGGCUAACUCUGUGCCAGCAGCCGCGGUAAUACAGAGGGUGCGAGCGUUAAUCGGAAUUACUGGGCGUAAAGCGCGCGUAGGCGGCUUUGCAAGUCGGAUGUGAAAUCCCCGGGCUCAACCUGGGAACUGCAUUCGAGACUGCAUUGCUAGAGUAUGGGAGAGGGAGGUGGAAUUUCCGGUGUAGCGGUGAAAUGCGUAGAUAUCGGAAGGAACAUCAGUGGCGAAAGCGACCUCCUGGACCAAUACUGACGCUCAUGUGCGAAAGCGUGGGGAGCAAACAGG